UACGUAGGGGGCAAGCGUUGUCCGGAAUCAUUGGGCGUAAAGCGCGCGUAGGCGGCCCGGUAAGUCCGUUGUGAAAGUCAAAGGCUCAACCUUUGAACGCCGAUGGAUACUGUCGGGCUCGAGUCCGGAAGAGGCGAGUGGAAUUCCUGGUGUAGCGGUGAAAUGCGCAGAUAUCAGGAGGAACACCGAUGGCGAAGGCAGCUCGCUGGGACGGUACUGACGCUGAGACGCGAAAGCGUGGGGAGCAAACAGG
rnacentral:rRNA from 1 species